AAUAACAGUAUCUGAGACCUGCUGUUGGUGUAUGUUAAAUGUUCUUUAAAAAGCGUCAACCAUCCCCAACACACGACUCUCCUGAAAGGGAAAGGUCCUGGCAAUCCUUCACACGGACAGCCAUGCCGAAUAUUUCUCGAGAAGCCAGCAGCCCAGGCUUCACAAGUUUUCUUCAAAGAACGCACCUGUAAGAAAGAAGACUGGCUGUACAAGAAGAGUGGUCCUCCCAUGAAGAGGUGAUGUCUAUUUCUCUGCUCUUUGAUUCUGCAAUGGCAUUUCGAGUUGCUUUGGCCAACACAAUGAAGUAAAGUAUAACUGUCCAAGUUCUGAAACUGGGCCCCAAGAGUCUUUGGCACUUCCAGUCUCCCUCCUGGAACCUUCAGCUGCCAUCUGAACAAGACAGGACUAGUCUCUGGGUAAUGAGUGACCCCCAAGGUCCAUAUUCCCCACCAUUCCCUUUCUCUAUCACCCCAGCUGAUCGCCACCCAUUCCCUAGAAGCAGAGCUGGCUGACCAGCACCUGAGCACAGACUCAUAGGUGAACCCAGCUGAAACCAGCAGAAGAAAAGUCCAUCUGAGCCCAGUCCAAAUUGCUGGUUCACAGAAUUGCAGGCUAAAUAAA
rnacentral:lncRNA from 10 species